CAAUCUAAUGAACCGACCUCUACCCUUCUAGCCUCUAUCCUCGUUUCUCUAACCCUAACCUGUUCCUCUAUCUUUUCAGUUGCGAAAAUCCCUUCAGAUUAUCCUCUCCAAUUCGAAAAAUCAUAUGCCAACAAUAUAAUUCAGAGGUGAAAAGGCGCAAAUUAUUUGAUAAAUAGCUGCUUAUAUGAUUCAAAUCUCAAUCUGAAACUGACCCAUUAACCAGAGAGAACGAAAGAAGGAAACCCAGACGGUUUUUUGGAAUCUGAUUCUUAUAUAUGGCAAACGGAACGGAGGCUAAGGAUAUGCUGGUGGCGAAGGUCCGACCAGGUUUGAAACGCGAAUUUGAGUUCGCGUUCAGGGCCCACUCAGAGAUCUCUGGGUCUUUGGGUCGGACCCGGGCUAGGCGGCCUGAGGCUGGAGACUCCCCAGUGAAUGGAAUUGCAGAGAGAUCUAUUAAUAAGAAGAGGUUGAAAGCCAAUGGCUCAAAGGAGGC
rnacentral:misc_RNA from 1 species